GACAGAGGCCUCGAGCGUUAGGCGGAAUCACUGGGCUUAAAGCGUGUGUAGGCGGAAGCGUAAGUACCUUGUGAAAUCCCACGGCUCAACCGUGGAACUGCUGGGUAUACUGCGUUUCUUGAGCCAUUUAGGGGCGGAGUGGAACGGAUGGUGGAGCGGUGAAAUGCAUAGAUAUCAUCCGGAACGCCUGGUGGUGAAGACGACUCGCUGGGAAUGUGCUGACGCUGAGACACGGAAGCCAGGGGAGCAAACGGG
rnacentral:rRNA from 1 species